UACGUAGGGGGCAAGCGUUGUCCGGAAUCCUUGGGCGUAAAGCGCGUGUAGGCGGCUCGGUAAGGCUGCUGUGAAAGUCCAGGGCUCAACCCUGGGAUGCCGGUGGAUACUGUCGAGCUCGAGUCCGGAAGAGGCGAGUGGAAUUCCUGGUGUAGCGGUGAAAUGCGCAGAUAUCAGGAGGAACACCAAUGGCGAAGGCAGCUCGCUGGGACGUGACUGACGCUGAGACGCGAAAGCGUGGGGAGCAAACAGG
rnacentral:rRNA from 1 species